GAUGAACGCUGGCGGCGUGCCUAAUACAUGCAAGUCGAGCGAAUGGAUUGAGAGCUUGCUCUUAUGAAGUUAGCGGCGGACGGGUGAGUAACACGUGGGUAACCUGCCCAUAAGACUGGGAUAACUCCGGGAAACCGGGGCUAAUACCGGAUAACAUUUUGAACCGCAUGGUUCGAAAUUGAAAGGCGGCUUCGGCUGUCACUUAUGGAUGGACCCGCGUCGCAUUAGCUAGUUGGUGAGGUAACGGCUCACCAAGGCAACGAUGCGUAGCCGAGCUGAGAGGGUGAUCGGCCACGCUGGGACUGAGACACGGCCCAGACUCCUACGGGAAGCAGCAGUAGGGAAUCUUCCGCAAUGGACGAAAGUCUGACGGAGCAACGCCGCGUGAGUGAUGAAGGCUUUCGGGUCGUAAAACUCUGUUGUUAGGGAAGAACAAGUGCUAGUUGAAUAAGCUGACACCUUGACGGUACCUAACCAGAAAGCCACGGCUAACUACGUGCCAGCAGCCGCAGUAA
rnacentral:rRNA from 1 species